rnacentral:rRNA from 1 species
AACGUACGCUGGCGGCACGCCUAACACAUGCAAGUCGAACGAAGUAGCAAUACUUAGUGGCAGACGGGUGAGUAACAUGUAGGUAUCUGCCCUUUGGCCUGGAAUAACACGAGGAAACUUGUGCUAAUACCGGAUAAGUCUUUACGGAGAAAGCUUUAUGCACCAUUGGAUGAGCCUGCACUUGAUUAGUUUGUUGGUGGGGUAAUGGCCUACCAAGACUGUGAUCAAUAGCUGAUUUGAGAGGAUGAUCAGCCACAUUGGGACUGAGACACGGCCCAAACUCCUACGGGAGGCAGCAGUGGGGAAUCUUGCACAAUGGAGGAAACUCUGAUGCAGCGAUGCCGCGUGAGUGAAGAAGGCCCUUGGGCUGUAAAGCUCUUUCGUCGGGGAAGAAAAUGACUGUACCCGAAUAAGAAGGUCCGGCUAACUUCGUGCCAGCAGCCGCGGUAAUACGAAGGGACCUAGCGUAGUUCGGAAUUACUGGGCUUAAAGAGUUCGUAGGUGGUUGAAAAAGUUAGUGGUGAAAUCCCAGAGCUUAACUCUGGAACUGCCAUUAAAACUUUUCAGCUAGAGUAUGAUAGAGGAAAGCAGAAUUUCUAGUGUAGAGGUGAAAUUCGUAGAUAUUAGAAAGAAUACCAAUUGCGAAGGCAGCUUUCUGGAUCAUUACUGACACUGAGGAACGAAAGCAUGGGUAGCGAAGAGGAUUAGAUACCCUCGUAGUCCAUGCCGUAAACGAUGUGUGUUAGACGUUGGAAAUUUAUUUUCAGUGUCGCAGGGAAACCGAUAAACACACCGCCUGGGGAGUACGACCGCAAGGUUAAAACUCAAAUGAAUUGACGGGGACCCGCACAAGUAGUGGAGCAUGUGGUUUAAUUCGAAGAUACGCGCAGAACCUUACCAACACUUGACAUGUUCGUCGCGACUCUAAGAGAUUAGAGUUUUCGGUUCGGCCGGACGAAACACAGGUGCUGCAUGGCUGUCGUCAGCUCGUGUCGUGAGAUGUUGGGUUAAGUCCCGCAACGAGCGCAACCCUCACUUUUAGUUGCCAUCAUUAAGUUGGGCACUCUGAAAGAACUGCCAGUGAUAAGCUGGAGGAAGGUGGGGAUGACGUCAAGUCCUCAUGGCCCUUACGUGUUGGGCUACACACGUGCUACAAUGGUAUCUACAACAGGAAGCAAGACUGCGAAGUUAAGCAAAUCCCUAAAAGAUACCUCAGUUCGGAUUGCACUCUGCAACUCGAGUGCAUGAAGCUGGAAUUACUAGUAAUCGUGGAUCAGCGUGCCACGGUGAAUGCGUUCCCGGGUCU